rnacentral:tRNA from 1 species
AUUUUAAGUUAAUAAGAAACUAGAAACCUUCAAAGUUUAAAAUGUGCAAAAACAAAUCUUG